rnacentral:rRNA from 1 species
UACAGAGGGGGCAAGCGUUAUUCGGAAUCACUGGGCUUAAAGGGUGCGUAGGCUGCGCGGAAAGUUGGGUGUGAAAUCCCUCGGCUCAACCGAGGAACUGCGCCCAAAACUGCCGUGCUCGAGGGAGACAGAGGUGAGCGGAACCUAGGGUGGAGCGGUGAAAUGCGUUGAUAUCCUAAGGAACACCGGUGGCGAAAGCGGCUCACUGGGUCUCUUCUGACGCUGAGGCACGAAAGCUAGGGUAGCGAACGGG